UACGUAGGGACCAAGCGUUGUUCGGAUUUACUGGGCGUAAAGGGCGCGUAGGCGGCGCGGUAAGUCACUUGUGAAAUCUCUGAGCUUAACUCAGAACGGCCAAGUGAUACUGCAGUGCUAGAGUGUGGAAGGGGCAAUCGGAAUUCUUGGUGUAGCGGUGAAAUGCGUAGAUAUCAAGAGGAACACCUGAGGUGAAGACGGGUUGCUGGGCCAACACUGACGCUGAGGCGCGAAAGCCAAGGGAGCAAACGGG
rnacentral:rRNA from 1 species